rnacentral:rRNA from 1 species
UACGGAGGGUGCGAGCGUUGCUCGGAAUUACUGGGCGUAAAGCGUGCGCAGGCGGCAUGUCAAGUCAGACGUGAAAGACCGGGGCUCAACCUCGGGAGGUCGUUUGAAACUGACAAGCUUGAGUACGGGAGAGGGGUGUGGAAUUCCCAGUGUAGGAGUGAAAUCCGUAGAUAUUGGGAGGAACACCAGUGGCGAAGGCGACACCCUGGCCCGAGACUGACGCUCAGGCACGAAAGCGUGGGGAGCAAACAGG